rnacentral:rRNA from 1 species
CCCUUAGAUGUCCUGGGCUGCACGCGCGCUACACUGAUGUGUCCAGUAAGCACCUAACCUCUUCCGAAAGGAACGGGUAACCUUUGCAAAGCACAUCGUGAUGGGGAUAGAUUAUUGCAAUUAUUAGUCUUGAACGAGGAAUUUCUAGUAAGCACAAGUCAUCAGCUUGUGUUGAUUACGUCCCUGCCCUUUGUACACACCGCCCGUCGCUCCUACCGAUUGAAUGUUCCGGUGAGCUCUUCGGACUGCGCGGUCUGCAGUUUCUGCGUUCCGUGCGGAAAGUUGCGCAAACCUUAACAUUUAGAGGAAGGAGAAGUCGUAACA